rnacentral:rRNA from 1 species
AUGGAAGAAGGAGAACAACAAGUCAGACGGCAGAUCCAGACCCCGCCCACAAUGGAAAGAGAUGGAGAAGAAAUAGAAGUAGCAGCUCCGUUGGGAUCGACAAGCAGGUCCACUAAACACACAUCUAGGAUAGCUAUUCAGAAAGUAACAGAGGUCGUUGCUGCAUUAUCGGAUUACAAAAGAUUCCUUGUUGAGGAGAUUGGCUUCGAGGGUGUACUGCGUAUCCCCAUGAUUCAGAAAAUCAAUCUCAAGUUCAGCAAGUUCCUCAUGACCAAGGUGGAUGUGAAAGAGCAUUGCAUCAUCCUGAGAGACGGUGGAACGCCAAUUACUUUUUAUCCAGAGGAUUUCCACAAAGUGUUUGGCAUCCCAUGUGGUCAACGAGACAUCCAUGGGAAAGAUGCAGACAUCACAUUUGAAGCAAUCGAGUUCAUCAGGAACUCUAUAGGGUGGACAGAGAAAUCUGAUCGCAGCUUAAGUUCGCUUGAAGUGUUCAUCGGCAAGGAAAUAAACGAACUAUCCAGCCGUCUAGAAAAGGAUUCCUUCAAGAUGGCGUUUGUUGCGUUUGUGAUGGGCAGUCUGUUCGCACCGUGCACCAAACAUGAUCACUCAACCAUCGACUACUGGGGCGCCAUCAAGGAUGCGGAAAACAUCUCCCUCUUCAAUUGGUGCAAAUAUUCAUUCAAUUUUUUACUAGAAGCAGUCUGCAAACUGAAGUUGGAAACACAUGCAAACAUAACACCCAACCACCUCUCUGGGUGUCACCUUUUCUUUCAGGUGUUCGUGCUAGAUAAUGUCGAACUGGGCAUGAUGAACUUGAAGCAAACGACAAUGCCACGGAUACAAUUAUUCGACGGGGAGACCCUGAAAUGGAUGAUCCUCGUGUGCUCAGCAAGAAAGCUAGGGAGAACAAUCUUCAUAGUCCCUGAGGCAAGACACUGGAAUGCCAUGUGCUACACAUGGCACAACUGGCUGAACGAGAAACAUGGCAAGAAGAAAGCAAUGGAGCACAAGGCUGAAGGCUCAGCAAAUCAGUAUGCACUCGUCAGUCAUAACCCAGAGACCACUCGACGGGGAGAGUAUACCAAUGCGGACACAAGCAACCUUCCAUAG